UACGUAGGGUGCGAGCGUUGUCCGGAAUUAUUGGGCGUAAAGAGCUUGUAGGCGGUUGUCGCGUCUGCCGUGAAAUUUCGAGGCUCAACCUCGAACUUGCGGUGGGUACGGGCAGACUAGAGUGUGGUAGGGGAGACUGGAAUUCCUGGUGUAGCGGUGAAAUGCGCAGAUAUCAGGAGGAACACCGGAUGGCGAAGGCAGGUCUCCUGGGCCACUACUGACGCUGAGAAGCGAAAGCAUGGGGAGCGAACAGGAUAGA
rnacentral:rRNA from 1 species